UAAAAUCGUUGUAAAGCAGAUUUGUUUAUAUAUUUAAUUAAUAUAGGUAGUUAAUAGUAAUGUUAGUACGCAAGGAUCAAUUAUUUGUUAAUUUAUAUGCUUUAAGGUUUAAUAUUGAACUUAAGUCCAUUGUUAUUAUUCAUAUUAAUUUUUUUAAAAGUUUUUAAGUUUUAUGCUAGUUUAUUUUAAGACCAAUAAUAUUCGUCACAUUUUAGGAAUAGAUAAUAAUA
rnacentral:rRNA from 1 species